rnacentral:rRNA from 1 species
UACGUAGGUGACAAGCGUUGUCCGGAUUUACUGGGCGUAAAGAGCGCGCAGGCGGUCGUUCAAGUCGAGUGUGAAAGCCCCCGGCUCAACUGGGGAGGGUCAUUCGAUACUGAUCGACUGGAAGGCAGGAGAGGGAAGUGGAAUUCCCGGUGUAGUGGUGAAAUGCGUAGAUAGCGGGAGGAACACCAGUGGCGAAGGCGACUUCCUGGCCUGUUCUUGACGCUGAGGCGCGAAAGCUAGGGGAGCAAACGGG